rnacentral:rRNA from 1 species
AUACGGAAGGUCCGGGCGUUAUCCGGAUUUAUUGGGUUUAAAGGGAGCGCAGGCGGAGCUGCAAGCGUGACGUCAAAUUUCGGGGCUCAACCCCGUCUCGCGUCGCGAACUGCGUCCCUUGGUUGCGGGAAGGGGAGGCGGACCUAGAGGUGUAGCGGGUAAAUGCAUAGAUAUCACGAAGAACUCCGAUCGCGAAGGCAGCCUUCCGGCCCGUCAACGACGCUCAUGCCCGAAGGUGCGGGUAUCAAACAGGAUUAGAUACCCUGGUAGUCCGCACAGUAAACGAUGGACACCCGCGGUUUGGCCUGUAUGGCUGAGCCGCCAAGCGAAAGCGUUAAGUGUCCCACCUGGGGAGUACGCCGGCAACGGUGAAACUCAAAUGAAUUGACGGGG